rnacentral:lncRNA from 1 species
GACAUAUCCAGUGAAUUAACGGCGCCUGGACAAUUAUAUCUUCUUAAAAUUAACGGACCACCGACCUCGGCCAGGACUAUUAUGAUUCGCCUUCAUCACAGCCAUAACGAGCAUAAUAUUAACUACGACAAAAAA